rnacentral:rRNA from 1 species
CCUACGGGAGGCAGCAGUGAGGAAUAUUGGUCAAUGGGGUUACCCCUGAUCCAGCCAAGUCGCGUGAAUGAAGAAGUCUUUCGGUUUGUAAACUUCUUUUCUCAGGGACGAAACAAGUGACGGUACCUGAGGAAUAAGCCACGGCUAACUACGUGCCAGCAGCCGCGGUAAUACGUAGGUGGCAAGCGUUAUCCGGAUUUACUGGGUGUAAAGGGCGUGUAGGCGGGAAUGCAAGUCAGAUGUGAAAACCACGGGCUCAACCUGUGGCCUGCAUUGGAAACUGUAGUUCUGGAGUACUGGAGAGGUAGAUGGAAUUCCUAGUGUAGCGGUGAAAUGCGUAGAUAUUAGGAGGAACACCAGUGGCGAAGGCGGUCUGCUGGACAGCAACUGACGCUGAGGCGCGAAAGCGUGGGGAGCAAACAGGAUUAGAUACCCGAGUAGUC